UACGGGGGGAGCAAGCGUUGUUCGGAUUUACUGGGCGUAAAGGGCGCGUAGGCGGUCAGCACAAGUCAGUUGUGAAAUCUCCGGGCUUAACUCGGAAAGGUCAACUGAUACUGUGCGACUAGAGUGGGGAAGGGGCAACUGGAAUUCUUGGUGUAGCGGUGAAAUGCGUAGAUAUCAAGAGGAGCACCUGCGGCGAAGGCGGGUUGCUGGGCCGACACUGACGCUGAGGCGCGAAAGCCAGGGGAGCGAACGGG
rnacentral:rRNA from 1 species